GCUUACGGCCAUACCACCCUGAGAACACCCGAUCUCGUCUGAUCUCGGAAGCUAAGCAGGUUCGGGCCUGGUUAGUACUUGGAUGGGAGACCGCCUGGGAAUACCCGGUGUUGUAAGCU
rnacentral:rRNA from 1 species